UACGUAGGGGGCAAGCGUUGUCCGGAAUCAUUGGGCGUAAAGCGCGCGUAGGCGGCCCGGUAAGUCCGUUGUGAAAGUCAAAGGCUCAACCUUUGAACGCCGAUGGAUACUGCCGGGCUAGAGUCCGGAAGAGGCGAGUGGAAUUCCUGGUGUAGCGGUGGAAUGCGCAGAUAUCAGGAGGAACACCGGUGGCGAAGGCGGCAUCCUGGACCGAGAUUGACGCUGAGGCGCGAAAGCUAGGGGAGCAAACGGG
rnacentral:rRNA from 1 species